rnacentral:tRNA from 1 species
GCGGAUGUAGUUCAAUGGUAGAAUAUCAGCUUCCCAAGCUGAGGGUUGCGGGUUCGAUCCCCGUCAUCCGCU